rnacentral:rRNA from 1 species
UUGGGGGAAGCGCCGCGAAGUAGAUUUUAAAUAAGGUCAAACAUUAUAAAUAAUAAAUAUUGGUUUAUUAUUUGUAUAUCUUUUUCUCCGUAGGAGUAGGAUUUAUUUAAAUUAAUAAAUUAAACGAUUCCUACUCCCCUCACAGUCACAGCUGUGAGUGUGAGGACUUCUUCCUUUUGCUCGCAGAUUUUGCUUGCAAAAGCAAUCCUACUCCUACGGAGGGACAGGGAGAAAGAGUCGGAGAAAAUUGAUUUGAUUAUUCAUUUAUUUGAGUAAUUAGUGUAGUUAUUCUUUAAUAUAUAAUUUUAUUAUAUUUUUUACUAGGUAUUUAACUGCUUUUUUUAAGUCUAAUUAGUUUCGACUAACCCAUCUGAGUAACAUCUCAAAAGUCAUAGCAAGGUA